AUUAUUUUGGCAGAAAAAUGCAUUAAAUUUAGAAUUUAAGAAUAUGAUUAAUUAUCAUAGAUAAUA
rnacentral:tRNA from 1 species